rnacentral:rRNA from 1 species
AUGGCCGCGCUGGCCCGCGCCUCGCUCCUCCGAUCCGCCGUUCGGCGGCUCCGGGCCUUCUCCGCGGCCGCCGCCGAGGGCGCCGCGCCCCGCCGCGACGCGAGGGCAGCCGAUGCCGCCACGGUGGCGGCCGCGCUGGCUGUCGGGUCGGGGCUGGGGAUCUGGCUGCUCCCCCCUUCGCCGCAGCCGCUCGCGGACUCGGGCCAGGGGGGCUUCGCCGUGGCGGAUGCGGGCUUUGGCGACGUGGGCACCGCGGAGGAGCCCGAGGAGGAGAAGCGCAGGUUCCUCUUCCGAGACUCAUAUCGCAGAAGGGUGUUCUUCAACUAUGAGAAGCGCAUCCGGACGCGCAGCCCUCCUGAGAAGAUCUUUGAGUACUUUGCGUCCAUCCGGAACCCGGAGGGCGAAGUCUACAUGUUACCUGCCGACUUGAUGAGGGCUAUUGUUCCCGUUUUCCCUCCAUCCGAAUCUAAUGUUGUCAGGGAAGGAAGACUCAGAGGAGAGCGCAACCCUGGCGAGCUACAGUGUGCUCCUUCUGAGUUUUUCAUGCUGUUCGACACAAACGGCGAUGGGCUCAUCUCCUUUGCCGAGUAUAUCUUUUUUGUGACAUUGCUUAGCAUUCCUGAGUCGAGCUUCAAUAUAGCUUUCAAGAUGUUUGACCUUGACCACAAUGGGGAAAUAGAUAAAGAAGAGUUUAAGAAAGUAAUGGCGUUGAUGCGGUCCUAUAAUAGGCAAGGAUCUGCCCACAGGGAUGGGUUACGUAUUGGACUCAAGGUUGGUCAGCCAGUGGAAGACGGCGGACUGCUUGAGUACUUUUUUGGCAAGGAUGGCAGUGACCAUCUACACUAUGAAAAGUUCUCUGAUUUUUUGAAGCAAUUACAAGAUGAGAUCGUUCGCUUGGAGUUCAGUCACUAUGAUAUAAAAUCAUCCAAGACAAUAUCUGCUAAGGACUUUGCAUUAUCCAUGGUUGCUUCUGCUGACAUGAAUCAUAUAAACAAGCUACUUGACAGAGUUGACGAUUUUGAUGAAUCUCCUGAUGUCAAGGAUCUGCGCAUUACCUUUGAGGAGUUCAAGGCUUUUGCUGAUCUGCGGCGAAGAUUGGAACCAUUUGCAAUGGCUAUCUUCAGCUAUGGAAAAGUAAACGGUUUGUUGACAAAGCAGGAUCUAAAACGUGCUGCAACUCAUGUUUGUGGGGUGGACUUGACUGAUAAGGUGGUGGAUGUCAUUUUCCAUGUGUUUGAUGCAAACUGUGAUGGGAACCUAAGCUCAGAGGAGUUCUUGAGGGCACUACAAAGACGGGAAAUCAAUAUUCGCCAGCCCACCACUCCAGGUUUAAUGGGGGUAUUCUCCUGCUGGCUGAACUGUACGAAGUGUUCUUUUCAACAAAUGCUGCUUCAGUAG